GGCGUGGGGUGGGGACGGAGGGCGUGGCCGGGCGAAGUGGUCGGCCUGGGACUGGGGUCUGUAGACACCCGCGUUGGGAUCUGGGCUGGGCGAUCGGCGCGGAAGGAGUGUCCAGCCCGGGCCCGGGCCCGGGGGUGGGAGCAGGGCGUCCAGCGGAGAAGGCAGAGGAGGGGAGAUACGGGCUUCUCCAGGUAGCGCAGGAGCCCCCUCCGGCCGCCGGAGCCCCGCGAGGGCGCGAGUGGAGGGCAGGAGCCGGGGCGGCGGAGGAGCGGAAGGGAUGCUGCGUUGCCUUGGAGUGUCAGGGUGGGGGAGGAAAGACCAAGGGACCCACGGCCUUCGCCCCCGCCUCGGAGUCCCGGGCCGGCUAGUCUUCCGCAGCCUGCCCAGCGCCCGGGACCUAGGGCUUUGCAGGAGUUCGCCCGGGAGCUCUACCAGAGCGUGCGUCCUCCCCGCCGCUCCAAAGGUGGCUUGGGGCAGGUGGGGCAUCCCUGAGGGAAUGGAGGGACCCUGCCUAGGGAAGUCUGGCACAUUCCUCCCCAAACACCGGCGUCUUCCCAUGGCGGGAGGGAUUUCGCUGCUUGUGGGGCUUCAGUGCUGAACCAGACAGCCCUGAGCAAACCAGGACCGAGCUUCCCAAACCUGACCAGGAAGGAGCCCUGGGUGCAUCUGGGAUCCACGUGGUCGACAGAGAAUCAGCUCACAGCUCACCACCCCAGUGACUUCAGGGCACCUUCCCCUGGCGCUCCUCAAACGAGCCAGGGAGUGGACCCUGCUCAGACUCCCCUCCUGCCUCCCAGACCCUGCAGGCCUACCCGCCCCAGUUGCCCUUUGCCCUCCUGCAGCCUUCUGGGGGUGCUACAUGUCUGAGGCCCGGUCUUCUGUCCUCCUGCUCCUCCUGAUCAGGGGUCUGGGCACUCUCCCUAAUUCAUCGAGAAGACUCUGACACCCAAUGCCCGUCUUCAGGCCCCAGCAGAUGCAGAGAAAUGGGCUUCACACCCACACCUGCCUGAUCUCAGGUGCUGGCUCCUGCAGCCACAGCCCUGAGCCCUGGCCCCUCCAGGCUGUCUGCUGCUUGUCCAGGUCUUCCCUGAAAGAGGCCAAAGAAGUUUUUAAAAGUUUAAGAAAAUCAAACAGAGGAGGAGAAAAAUAAAGCCACAAAUAAGGAAUCAUGGAAUAAUGAGGGUCUACCGUAAUUGAUGGGCCAAUCCCUUUACCCAAGGCAUGUGUUUGUUUGUUUGUUUGUUUGUUUGUUUGUUUUUGAGAGGGAAUCUCUGUCGCCCAGGCUGGAGUGCAAUGACACGAUCUCGGCUCACUGCAACCUCCACCUCCCAGGUUCAAGUGAUUUUCCUGCCUCAGCCUCCCAAGUAGCUGGGAUUACAGACACCCGCCACCACACAUGGCUAAUUUUUGUAUUUUUAGUACAGACUGGGUUUCACCAUGUUGGCUAGGCUCGUCUUGAACUCCUGAUCUCAGGCCACCUCGGCCUCCCAGAGUGGUGGGAUUACAGACAUGAGCCACCGUGCCCAGCCAAGGCAUGUAUUCUUACGCUUGAGAUAGAACAGGUCUACCAACAUUGAAUAGAAAUCAGGGAGUGCUCACUGUUUGGAAGAGAAGGCAGACAAUGAAACUGGGUAGACAGGUGGCCGUGGAGCACGGCUCUGGCCUCUGAGAUGCCUGGGGCCGAAGCCAAGGAUGGAUAGAUCUGUGUUUCUGUGCCUCACAGCAUGAACCUAGAUAGGUGAUGCUUCCUGGGAGAAGCAGGCUUAAUCCAGGCACUGCUUUCUACAAAGAGCUGUUCUCAGAGGGCCUCUCUGAGGUCAAGGCAGGGUCUUCUGCCAAGGCAUGCUGGCUGGGUGGGGUCCCAGAUACCUACGGCUGCAAUGGGAUUUGCAGGAGAUGCAGAACACCUCAGCCCAGUGCUCUUCAUAACCUGCCCCGGUGUCUAGGAGCUCCAUAACACUCAUCCUGUGACCCUAACACUAACCCUGAUCCUCUACCUAACACUGACCCUACCAAUAACCCUGACACUAACCCUGAACCUAACCCUGACUUUAAUACUGACCCUACCAGUGAUCCUGACAUGAACCCUGACCCUAACCCUCACUGUAUCGCUGACUCUCACUGUGACACUGUGACCAAGACCCUGACCCUAAGUCUAGCCCUAAACCUAAUCCUAACACUAACACUGACCAUGAACUUGACCCUAACUCUAACCCAGGCUCUAACCCUAACCCAGAACCUGACCCUAUGAUACUGAUACCCUAAUGCUGACUCUGACCAUAACCCUAACUACGGCCCCAACCCUAACCCUGACCUUAUGACCUUGAUCCUAACCCUAACCCUGAACCUAGCUAUGACACUGACUCUAGUCCUUAACCUAAUUCUGAUCCUAAUGCUAGCCCUAACCUUGACCCUGACCCCCCGACCCCGACCCUGACCAGGACCCUAACCCUAUGUUUGAACUAAAUGUCUUCACGUAUUAGGGAUGUUUUAAGGUUCUUGUAAGUUUUGGAUGCAUCUUGCUGACUUGUAUUAUUUAUAAUUACAAACACACGCAGCUACGAUUGAGCUUUGCAGCAAAUGUUUGCCUUCUCUUCUGGGUCAGUUUAAUUAAAAUGUGCUUUGCUGUUGCAAGUCAAGCUUUUUAAAAAGCCAUUGAAUUUAUUGGACAAAACACAAUAUGUUGUAGCUGAGACCACACGGCCAUUCAGAGUCCCAGAUUUUGCAUUUUUGUGUGUAUCAAAACAGUCUUGUUAUCCUCACUGCCUUUAGAGGUAUUCUGCUUGACGUACAUAAAAAUGCAUAAUUCAAAA